rnacentral:hammerhead_ribozyme from 1 species
AUUCAACUGACGAGUCCUAAAUAGAACGAAAUGCGUGUCCUAGAU